rnacentral:rRNA from 1 species
GAAAAGAAACCAACAGGGAUUGCCCUAGUAACGGCGAGUGAAGCGGCAGCAGCUCAAAUUUGAAAUCUGGCCCCCCGGGUCCGAGUUGUAAUUUGCAGAGGAUGCUUUUGGCGCGGUGCCUCCCGAGUUCCCUGGAACGGGACGCCUGAGAGGGUGAGAGCCCCGUACGGUUGGACACCAAGCCUCUGUAAAGCUCCUUCGACGAGUCGAGUAGUUUGGGAAUGCUGCUCUAAAUGGGAGGUAAAUCUCUUCUAAAGCUAAAUACCGGCCAGAGACCGAUAGCGCACAAGUAGAGUGAUCGAAAGAUGAAAAGUACUUUGAAAAGAGGGUUAAAUAGCACGUGAAAUUGUUGAAAGGGAAGCGUUUGCGACCAGACCUCGUCCUGGCGGAUCAGCCGGUGUUAUUCACCGGUGCACUUUGCCAGGUCGAGGCCAGCAUCGGUCCCGGCGGGGGGAUAAAGGCCCGGGGAACGUAGCUCCCUCGGGAGUGUUAUAGCCCCUCGCGCAAUGCCCUCGCGGGGACCGAGGACCGCGCCCUCAUACGGCAAGGAUGCUGGCGUAAUGGUCGUCAACGACCCG